AUAACGGCGAAGAAGAGGACAGUAGUAAAAAGAGGAAGUUUACAGAGAAAUAAUCGGUUGGUGAGAGAUUAUGACGGAUUCUUUUUAUGAAAAUCACCUCGGAGCCGGAUGCCUGAAACAACAGUAGGGCAUCCCGCAGACAUGCGUUAUCAUGUUUUGAGUGAUAAGGUAUGCAAUAUGCCUUAUAAUCAGGGUGGUACCGCGGUUUAUUCGUCCCUAAG
rnacentral:ncRNA from 1 species